rnacentral:rRNA from 1 species
UUGAAGUAUAAAAAUCGUAACAAGGUUUCCGUAGGUGAACCUGCGGAAGGAUCAUUAAAGAUUUUGGGCUUUUAACCCGAUCGUUCAGCUGUGCGCCCUUCACAGGGCUGCACGCUGGAGCAAGACCCCACACCUGUGCACCUUUUCGGUUGCGGCUUCGGUCGCUGCCGCUUUCAAAUGCAACAACUCAGUCUCGAAUGUUAACAAAACCAUAAAAAGUAACAACUUUCAACAACGGAUCUCUUGGCUCUCGCAUCGAUGAAGAACGCAGCGAAAUGCGAUAAGUAAUGUGAAUUGCAGAAUUCAGUGAAUCAUCGAAUCUUUGAACGCAUCUUGCGCUCCUUGGUAUUCCAUGGAGCAUGCCUGUUUGAGUGUCACGUAAACCCUCACCCUUGCGAUGUAACAGUCGCCCGUGGUGGACUUGGACUGUGCCGUAACCGGCUCGUCUUGAAAUGCAUUAGCUGGCGCUUUUAGAGUGCUGGGCGACGGUGUGAUAAUUAUCUGCGCCAAUGCCUUAGGCCUCUUCAGCGGUGCUGCUUACAGCCGUCCCUCUGUGGACACAUUAUUUUUAAAGCUUUGGCCUCAAAUCAGGUAGGACUACCCGCUGAACUUAAGCAUAUCAAAGGCGGGAAGGAA